GAUGAAGAACGUAGCGAAAUGCGAUAAGUAGUGUGAAUUGCAGAAUUCAGUGAAUCAUCGAAUCUUUGAACGCACAUUGCGCCCCUUGGUAUUCCAUGGGGCAUGCCUGUUCGAGCGUCAUUUGUACCUUCAAGCUUUGCUUGGUGUUGGGUGUUUGUCUCGCCUCUGCGUGUAGACUCGCCUUAAAACAAUUGGCAGCCGGCGUAUUGAUUUCGGAGCGCAGUACAUCUCGCGCUUUGCACUCAUAACGACGACGUCCAAAAGUACAUUUUUACACUAUUGACCUCGGAUCAGGUAGGGAUACCCGCUGAACUUAAGCAUAUCAAUAAGCGGAGGA
rnacentral:misc_RNA from 1 species